rnacentral:lncRNA from 1 species
CGAAGAGAAGGCGUCCAUGAAGGGGCGGAGCCAGGUCUUAGGGGCGUGAACAAACAAGCAGGGCGUGAUGCGGCCGCAGGAGAGGACCUGGUCUGGACAGAGAGGUGGGACGUGGUAGCGAGAGGAGGCGUGGUCAGGCAUCUCAUCAUGUGUCCAUGGCUUGUUUGAGUUUACCAUACGCUACCAACUUCUGAGCUCUUCUCAGCAAUAUUAGAACUUGAAAAGGCAUAUUAAUCUUUCAGAAACCCCACUGAAUCAAAAGAUUUCCAUUAAAAAAAUUCUGCUGAAAGAUGACUGCUACCUUGGCCCACAGAGUCUUACCUCCACAGGCCUUUUGUUUAAUGCGCCAUCUGAGGAAAAC